AGUGAACGCUGGCGGUAGGCCUAACACAUGCAAGUCGAACGGCAGCACAGUAAGAGCUUGCUCUUACGGGUGGCGAGUGGCGGACGGGUGAGGAAUACAUCGGAAUCUACUUUUUCGUGGGGGAUAACGUAGGGAAACUUACGCUAAUACCGCAUACGACCUACGGGUGAAAGCAGUGGAUCUUCGGACCUUGCGCGAUUGAAUGAGCCGAUGUCGGAUUAGCUAGUUGGCGGGGUAAAGGCCCACCAAGGCGACGAUCCGUAGCUGGUCUGAGAGGAUGAUCGGCCACACUGGAACUGAGACACGGUCCAGACUCCUACGGGAGGCAGCAGUGGGGAAUCUUGGACAAUGGGCGCAAGCCUGAUCCAGCCAUACCGCGUGGGUGAAGAAGGCCUUCGGGUUGUAAAGCCCUUUUGUUGGGAAAGAAAAGCAGCAGGUUAAUCCCCCGCUGUUCUGACGGUACCCAAAGAAUAAGCACCGGCUAACUUCGUG
rnacentral:rRNA from 1 species